rnacentral:rRNA from 1 species
GACGAACGCUGGCGGCGUGCUUAACACAUGCAAGUCGAACGAUGAAGCUAGAGCUUGCUCUGGUGGAUUAGUGGCGAACGGGUGAGUAACACGUGAGUAACCUGCCCCGAACUCUGGGAUAACUGCUGGAAACGGUAGCUAAUACUGGAUACGACCAACGAGGGCAUCUUCUGUUGGUGGAAAGAAUUUCGGUUCGGGAUGGACUCGCGGCCUAUCAGCUUGUUGGUGAGGUAACGGCUCACCAAGGCGACGACGGGUAGCCGGCCUGAGAGGCUGAACGGCCACACUCGGACUGAGACACGGCCCAGACUCUUGCGGGAGGGAGCAGUGGGGAAUAUUGCACAAUGGGCGAAAGCCUGAUGCAGCAACGCCGCGUGGGGGACGACGGCCUUCGGGUUGUAAACCUCUUUUAGUAGGGAAGAAGCGAAAGUGACGGUACCUGCAGAAAAAGCACCGGCUAACUACGUGCCAGCCGCCGCGGUAA